UUUAUUUAACCAGGUAGGCUAGUUGAGAACACCUUUAUUUAACCAGGUAGGCUAGUUGAGAACACCUUUAUUUAACCAGGGUAGGCUAGUUGAGAACACCUUUAUUUAACCAGGUAGGCUAGUUGAGAACACCUUUAUUUAACCAGGUAGGCUAGUUGAGAACACCUUUAUUUAACCAGGUAGGCUAGUUGAGAACACCUUUAUUUAACCAGGUAGGCUAGUUGAGAACACCUUUAUUUAACCAGGUAGGCUAGUUGAGAACACCUUUAUUUAACCAGGUAGGCUAGUUGAGAACACCUUUAUUUAACCAGGCAGGCUAGUUGAGAACACCUUUAUUUAACCAGGUAGGCUAGUUGAGAACACCUUUAUUUAACCAGGUAGGCUAGUUGAGAACACCUUUAUUUAACCAGGUAGGCUAGUUGAGAACACCUUUAUUUAACCAGGUAGGCUAGUUGAGAACACCUUUAUUUAACCAGGAAGGCCAGUUGAGAACACCUUUAUUUAACCAGGUAGGCCAGUU